CCUACGGGGGGCAGCAGUGAGGAAUAUUGGUCAAUGGACGAGAGUCUGACCAGCCAAGUAGCGUGAAGGAUGACUGCCCUAUGGGUUGUAAACUUCUUUUAUAUGGGAAUAAAACAGGGUAUGCAUACCCUCUUGUCUGUACCAUAUGAAUAAGGAUCGGCUAACUCCGUGCCAGCAGCCGCGGUAAUACGGAGGAUCCGAGCGUUAUCCGGAUUUAUUGGGUUUAAAGGGAGCGUAGGUGGAUUGUUAAGUCAGGUGUGAAAGUUUGCGGCUCAACCGUAAAAUUGCAGUUGAAACUGGCAGUCUUGAGUACAGUAGAGGUGGGCGGAAUUCGUGGUGUAGCGGUGAAAUGCUUAGAUAUCACGAAGAACUCCGAUUGCGAAGGCAGCUCACUGGACUGCAACUGACACUGAUGCUCGAAAGUGUGGGUAUCAAACAGGAUUAGAUACCCCAGUAGUC
rnacentral:rRNA from 1 species